rnacentral:rRNA from 1 species
CUGAGACUUUAAGUCUCCUGAAGGAACGUUGAAGACGACGACGUUGAUAGGCCGGGUGUGUAAGCGCAGCGAUGCGUUGAGCUAACCGGUACUAAUGAACCGUGAGGCUUAACCUU